AGAUGCCAAUGCAGGAAGGAUACUUGGAACCAAAGAGCAGCUUCUCAUCAGCCACCACUGUAAAGAGCCUGGUUCCCCCUCCUUGAUGGGUCCCAGCAGCUGCUGCGAAGUGGUCAUAUCACAAGAGACGAAUGAGGAGCUGGGAUUGAGGGCAGGAGACAGAAACAACGCAGCCAGAAGAGACACAAACUCAUUAGUUCUGUCGAUCAUGAAACAGCCUGCUUCUGUUGGGUUUUGUUUUCUUCAGAUACAAAAUUCGAUCAAAUUAUGUAAGAUAUUAUGA
rnacentral:lncRNA from 1 species